AGUAGGUUGAUGUGAGUGUACAGUAGGUUGAUGUGAGCGUACAGUAGGUUGAUGUGAGCGUACAGUAGGUUGAUGUGAGCGUACAGUAGGUUGAUGUGAGCGUACAGUAGGUUGAUGUGAGUGUACAGUAGGUUGAUGUGAGAGUACAGUAGGUUGAUGUGAGAGUACAGUAGGUUGAUGUGAGCGUACAGUAGGUUGAUGUGAGUGUACAGUAGGUUGAUGUGGGUGUACAGUAGGUUGAUGUGGGUGUACAGUAGGUUGAUGUGAGUGUACAGUAGGUUGAUGUGAGAGUACAGUAGGUUGAUGUGAGAGAACAGUAGGUUGAUGUGAGCGUACAGUAGGUUGAUGUGAGUGUACAGUAGGUUGAUGUGAGUGUACAGUAGGUUGAUGUGAGUGUACAGUAGGUUGAUGUGAGUGUACAGUAGGUUGAUGUGAGUGUACAGUAGGUUGAUGUGAGAGUACAGUAGGUUGAUGUGAGUGUACAGUAGGUUGAUGUGAGUGUACAGUAGGUUGAUGUGAGUGUACAGUAGGUUGAUGUGAGCGUACAGUAGGUUGAUGUG